rnacentral:rRNA from 1 species
GACGAACGCUGGCGGCGUGCCUAAUACAUGCAAGUCGAGCGAAGUUUUUCUGGUGCUUGCACUAGAAAAACUUAGCGGCGAACGGGUGAGUAACACGUAAAGAACCUGCCUCAUAGACUGGGACAACUAUUGGAAACGAUAGCUAAUACCGGAUAACAGCAUUAACUGCAUGGUUGAUGUUUAAAAGUUGGUUAUGCUAACACUAUGAGAUGGCUUUGCGGUGCAUUAGCUAGUUGGUGGGGUAAAGGCCUACCAAGGCGACGAUGCAUAGCCGACCUGAGAGGGUGAUCGGCCACACUGGGACUGAGACACGGCCCAGACUCCUACGGGAGGCAGCAGUAGGGAAUCUUCCGCAAUGGGCGAAAGCCUGACGGAGCAACGCCGCGUGAGUGAAGAAGGAUUUCGGUUCGUAAAGCUCUGUUGUUAGGGAAGAAUGGAUAUGUAGU